CUUAAGUUAGACAAACAUCCUAGUUACAAGGUUGAACCUGCUGAGUUAUCUCUGGAUCUUGCUAAGAUGUCUCGUGAAAUUAGAGGCAGUCCAGAGAUCUUGUUUGCAAGAGAAGUUGCAAGAGCAUGCAGAAUGAGGAACUUUAUUUCCUUCUUCCGUCUUGCAAGGAAAGCUACAUAUUUGCAGGCCUGUUUGAUGCAUGCUCAUUUUGCAAAGCUAAGGAGGCAAGCACUUGCUUCCUUGCACAGUGGUCUUCAGAAUGGCCAAGGCAUCCCUAUUUCGUAGGUUGUGGUGUGGCUUGCUAUGGAGGACGAGGAUGUUGAAAAUCUAUUAGAAUACCAUGGUUUUGGGUUGAGGCAGUAUGAAGAACUGUACUUAGUCAAAGAAGGACCUUUUCUUAACAGUGAAAGUGAUUUCCCAUCUGGCUGUUCACAGCUUGUGCAUUCUAAAAAAUCGCAGAGGGUCGUUGAUGAUGUUUCUUCUGGGCUAGAUUGUGCUCCAACUAGCAAAGAAAAGACUGUCUUUCCAUAUACUGGUCAACCAGUUGCUGGCAAAAGAGAUCUAUUUCUACCAUAGAAUGCUCCUGCGAUUCCUCCUGAUGGCAGAAUGGAUUUGGAUCCAUCAUUUCCUGGGCCUAUUUCAAUCACUCCUGACAGACAGAUUAGCCCAUUGUUUUCAGAUCCUUUCUCUCCAAGAGCUGCCAGUAAACUAUUCAGUUCAACACAUCCAAA